rnacentral:rRNA from 1 species
CCGGCGACCGGCGCACGGGUGAGUAACACGUAUGCAACCUGGCCGUGACAGAUGGAUAACCGGGAGAAAUCCCGCCUAAUACAACAUAAUGCCGGGAGGGGACAUCCCCUGCCGGCCAAAGGGGGCGACUCCGGUCACGGAUGGGCAUGCGGCGCAUUAGGUAGUUGGUGGGGCAACGGCCCACCAAGCCGACGAUGCGUAGGGGUUCUGAGAGGAAGGUCCCCCACAUUGGAACUGAGACACGGUCCAAACUCCUACGGAAGGCAGCAG